CCUACGGGUGGCAGCAGUGGGGAAUAUUGCACAAUGGGGGAAACCCUGAUGCAGCGACGCCGCGUGAGUGAAGACGUAAUUCGUUAUGUAAAGCUCUAUCAGUAGGGAAGAAAAUGACGGUACCUGAGUAAGAAGCCCCGGCUAACUACGUGCCAGCAGCCGCGGUAAUACGUAGGGGGCAAGCGUUAUCCGGAUUUACUGGGUGUAAAGGGAGCGUAGACGGCAGGGCAAGUCUGGAGUGAAAGGCGGGGGCUCAACCCCCGCACUGCACUGGAAACUGGACGGCUGGAGUGCAGGAGAGGUAAGUGGAAUUCCUAGUGUAGCGGUGAAAUGCGUAGAUAUUAGGAGGAACACCGGUGGCGAAGGCAGCUUGCUGGACUGUAACUGACGUUGAGGCUCGAAAGCGUGGGGAGCGAACAGGAUUAGAUACCCUUGUAGUC
rnacentral:rRNA from 1 species